AUGUACCACUUAAUGCGGUUCCUCCGCGCCGCCCGCACCCACCUGGACACUGCUCGCUACGUUUUUAGCC
rnacentral:sRNA from 1 species